rnacentral:rRNA from 1 species
UACGUAGGGUGCAGGCGUUAAUCGGAAUUACUGGGCGUAAAGCGUGCGCAGGCGGUUUGCUAAGACAGGUGUGAAAUCCCCGGGCUUAACCUGGGAACUGCGCUUGUAACUGGCAAGCUAGAGUGUGGCAGAGGGGGGUGGAAUUCCACGUGUAGCAGUGAAAUGCGUAGAGAUGUGGAGGAACACCGAUGGCGAAGGCAGUCCCCUGGGCCUGUACUGACGCUCAUGCACGAAAGCGUGGGGAGCAAACAGG